rnacentral:rRNA from 1 species
GACGAACGCUGGCGGCGUGCUUAACACAUGCAAGUCGAACGGAAAGGCCCUGCUUGCAGGGUACUCGAGUGGCGAACGGGUGAGUAACACGUGGGUGAUCUGCCCUGCACUUCGGGAUAAGCCUGGGAAACUGGGUCUAAUACCGGAUAGGAGCCAUUUUUAGUGUGAUGGUUGGAAAGUUUUUUUCGGUGUAGGAUGAGCUCGCGGCCUAUCAGCUUGUUGGUGGGGUAAUGGCCUACCAAGGCGGCGACGGGUAGCCGGCCUGAGAGGGUGGACGGCCACAUUGGGACUGAGAUACGGCCCAGACUCAUACGGGAGGCAGCAGUGGGGAAUAUUGCACAAUGGGCGCAAGCCUGAUGCAGCGACGCCGCGUGGGGGAUGACGGCCUUCGGGUUGUAAACUCCUUUCGCUAGGGACGAAGCUUUUUGUGACGGUACCUAGAUAAGAAACACCGGCUAACUACGU